rnacentral:rRNA from 1 species
UACGUAGGGGGCAAGCGUUGUCCGGAUUUAUUGGGCGUAAAGAGCGUGUAGGCGGUUUGGUAGGUCCGUUGUGAAAACUCGAGGCUCAACCUCGAGACGCCGAUGGAAACCAUCAGACUAGAGUCCGGAAGAGGAGAGUGGAAUUCCUGGUGUAGCGGUGAAAUGCGUAGAUAUGCGGAGGAACACCGAUGGCGAAGGCAAUCCCCUGGACCUGUACUGACGCUCAUGCACGAAAGCGUGGGGAGCAAACAGGAUUAGAGUACCCUGGUA